CCUUGGAACCACCUGAUCCCAUCCCGAACUCAGCAGUGAAACGAUGCAUCGCCGAUGGUAGUGUGGGGUUUCCCCAUGUGAGAGUAGGUCAUCGUCAAGA
rnacentral:rRNA from 1 species